GGUCUCGUGGUGUAGUGGUUAUCUGUCUAACACACAGAAGGUCGGCGGUUCGAUCCCGCCUGAGAUCA
rnacentral:tRNA from 1 species